GGAUGCGACCAUACCAGCACUAAAGCACCGGAUCCCAUCAGAACUCCGAAGUUAAGCGUGCUUGGGAGAGAGAAGUACUAGGAUGGGUGACCUCUUGGGAAGUCCUCGUGUUGCAUUCC
rnacentral:rRNA from 2 species